rnacentral:rRNA from 1 species
CGGCCGCGUCGACCGCAACGAGCGCAACCCUUGUCCUUAGUUACCAGCGGUUUGGCCGGGAACUCUAAGGAUACUGCCAGUGACAAACUGGAGGAAGGCGGGGACGACGUCAAGUCAUCAUGGCCCUUACGACCAGGGCUACACACGUGCUACAAUGGUAGGUACAGAGGGCAGCUACACAGCGAUGUGAUGCGAAUCUCAAAAAGCCUAUCGUAGUCCAGAUUGGAGUCUGCAACCCGACUCCAUGAAGUAGGAAUCGCUAGUAAUCGCGGAUCAGAACUGCCGCGGUGAAUACGUUCCCGGGCCUUGUACACACCGCCCGUCACACCACGAGAGUUUGUAACACCCGAAGUCGGUGAGGUAACCACUUGUGGAGCCAGCCGCCGAAGGUGGGACGGAUGAUUGGGGUGUGUCGACGCGGCCG